UACGUAGGGUCCGAGCGUUGUCCGGAUUUACUGGGUGUAAAGGGUGCGUAGGCGGACUUGUGCGUCAGGGGUUAAAUCCCACGGCUUAACCGUGGAGCUGCCUUUGAUACGGCAAGUCUUGAGUGUGAGAGAGGAUGAUAGAAUUCCUGGUGUAGCGGUGAAAUGCGUAGAUAUCAGGAGGAAUACCGGUGGCGAAGGCGGUCAUCUGGCUCAUUACUGACGCUGAGGCACGAAAGCGUGGGGAGCGAACAGGAUUAGAUACCCUGGUAGUCCACGCCCUAAACGAUGCAUGCUUGGUGUUGGGAAGCAAUUCUCAGUGCCGAAGGUAACCCGUUAAGCAUGCCACCUGGGGAGUACGAUCGCAAGGUUGAA
rnacentral:rRNA from 1 species